rnacentral:snRNA from 1 species
GGAUGUGAGGGCGAUCUGGCUGCGACAUCUGUCACCCCAUUGAUCGCCAGGGUUGAUUCGGCUGAUCUGGCUGGCUAGGCGGGUGUCCCCUUCCUCCCUCACCGCUCCAUGUGCGUCCCUCCCGAAGCUGCGCGCUCGGUCGAAGAGGACGACCAUCCCCGAUAGAGGAGGACCGUUCUUCAGUCAAGGGUAUACGAGUAGCUGCGCUCCCCUGCUAGAACCUCCAAACAAGCUCUCAAGAUCAUAAAACUGAACUGGGUAAAAAUUUCUAUGACUAAUGGAAAAUCUGAGUUC